UGCAGUCGAGCGGUAACAUUUCAAAGCUUGCUUUGAAGAUGACGAGCGGCGGACGGGUGAGUAAUGCUUGGGAAUAUGCCUUAUGGUGGGGGACAACAGUUGGAAACGACUGCUAAUACCGCAUAAUGUCUACGGACCAAAGGGGGGGAUCUUCGGACCUCUCGCCAUUUGAUUAGCCCAAGUGAGAUUAGCUAGUUGGUGAGGUAAUGGCUCACCAAGGCGACGAUCUCUAGCUGGUUUGAGAGGAUGAUCAGCCACACUGGGACUGAGACACGGCCCAGACUCCUACGGGAGGCAGCAGUGGGGAAUAUUGCACAAUGGGCGCAAGCCUGAUGCAGCCAUGCCGCGUGUGUGAAGAAGGCCUUCGGGUUGUAAAGCACUUUCAGUAAGGAGGAAAGGGAUGUAGUUAAUAGCUGCAUUCUGUGACGUUACUUACAGAAGAAGCACCGGCUAAAUUCGUGCCAGCAGCCGCGGUAAUACGAAUGGAGCAAGCGUUGUUCGGAAUCACUGGGCUUAAAGCGUGCGCAGGCGGACUUGAAAGUCGGGAGUGAAAUCCCAGGGCUCAACCCUGGAACUGCUUCCGAAACUCCAAGUCUAGAAUCCGAUAGAGGUUAGGGGAAUUCCUA
rnacentral:rRNA from 1 species